rnacentral:rRNA from 1 species
UACGUAGGGCGCAAGCGUUAUCCGGAAUUAUUGGGCGUAAAGAGCUCGUAGGCGGUUUGUCGCGUCUGCCGUGAAAGUCCGGGGCUCAACUCCGGAUCUGCGGUGGGUACGGGCAGACUAGAGUGAUGUAGGGGAGACUGGAAUUCCUGGUGUAGCGGUGAAAUGCGCAGAUAUCAGGAGGAACACCGAUGGCGAAGGCAGGUCUCUGGGCCGAUACUGACGCUGAGGCGCGAAAGCGUGGGGAGCGAACAGG